GACGAACGCUGGCGGCGUGCUUAACACAUGCAAGUCGAACGGAAAGGCCCUGCUUUUGUGGGGUGCUCGAUUGGCGAACGGGUGAGUAACACGUGAGUAACCUGCCCUUGACUUUGGGAUAACUUCAGGAAACUGGGGCUAAUACCGGAUAGGAGCUCCUGCUCCAUGGUGGGGGUUGGAAAGUUUCGGCUGUUGGGGAUGGACUCGCGGCUUAUCAGCUUGUUUGUGGGGUAGUGGCUUACCAAGGCUUUGACGGGUAGCCGGCCUGGGAGGGUGACCGGCCACAUGGGGACUGCGGUACGGACCAGACUCGAACGGGAGGCAGUAGUCGGGAAUAUUGCACAAUGGGCGGAAGCCUGAUGCAGCAGCGCCGCGUGCGGAAUGACGGCCUUCGGGUUGUGAACCGCUUUCGCCUGUGACGAAGCGUGAGUGACGGUAAUGGGUAAAGAAGCACCGGCUAACUACGUG
rnacentral:rRNA from 1 species